AAUGAACGUUGGCGGCAUGGAUUAGGCAUGCAAGUCGAGCGAGAAGUGUAGCAAUACACGGAAAGCGGCGGAAGGGAGAGUAAUACGUGGGAAUCUGCCCUUAGACCUGGGAUAGCAGCGGGAAACUGCUGGUAAUACCAGAUAAUGUCUAUGGACCAAAGGUGUGAUUCCGUCUAGGGAUGAGCCCACGUCCUAUUAGCUAGUUGGUAGGGUAAUGGCCUACCAAGGCGAUGAUGGGUAGCGGGUGUGAGAGCAUGACCCGCCUCACUGGGACUGAGACACUGCCCAGACACCUACGGGUGGCUGCAGUCGAGAAUCUUCGGCAAUGGGCGCAAGCCUGACCGAGCGAUGCCGCGUGCGGGAUGAAGGCCUUCGGGUUGCAAACCGCUGUCGAGGGGGAGCAACUUCCAUAGAGUUAUCUUUAUGGAUUGAGUGAUCCCUGGAGGAAGGACGGGCUAAGUUCGUGCCAGCAGCCGCUGUAAUAC
rnacentral:rRNA from 1 species